rnacentral:rRNA from 1 species
AUUGAACGCUGGCGGCAGGCCUAACACAUGCAAGUCGAGCGAGCGGCGGGCGGGGGAGUAAUGUAUGGGGCCUGCCCGAUAGAGGGGGAUAACUACUGGAAACGGUGGCUAAUACCGCAUACUAUCUGAUAACCCAUAUGGGAUUAGCUAGUGGGUGGGGUAAGGGCUCGCCUAGGCGACGAUCCGUAGCUGGUCUGAGAGGAUGAAAAGCCCCCCCGGAACUGAGACACGGCCCAGACCCCCUGGGAGGCAGCAGUGGAGAAUAUUGUACAAGGGACGCAAGCCUGACGUAGCCAUGCCGCGUGGAUGAAGAGGUGCUUAGGGUUGUAAAGUACUUCCAGCUGUGAGGCGUUACCCGCAGAAGAAGCACCGGCUAACUCCGUGCCAGCCGCCGCGGUAAUAC